AAAGUUUGAUUCUGGCUUUAUUAUAGUGCUAUCUUUAUUUAUUGCAUGGUAUUUUAUGAUUAUGGUUGUUUUUAUUUUUUUUUGUUUAUUAAUUUGAAAUUUUUAAAUUAAGUUUAAUAACUAUUAGUUUAGAGGCUUACACCAGUGGUUGAUAUUAUAUAAUUAAAGAAAUUUUGAUAUAAUAAUUGAUAAUUAGUUUUUGACUAAUUCAGUGCCAGCAGUCGCGGUUAAACUGGGGAAAAUAUUUAUAAUUGUACAGUUAAAAUAUGGGUAUAAUUUUUUUUUAAAAGUAUAUUGUUAAGUUUUUGGGUAUUAUCAAAAUUUAGUGAAUUUUAUUGAUUUUUGGUUAUAGAUUUGUGAAAUUAUUGUAAAAAACCAGAAAUUCAACUCUGUUAUUUAUAAUUUAAAUUUUUAAGAGCUGGGGGACUAAGAAGUAGAACUUUAAAACUUAAAGAAUUUGGCGGUAUUUUUAAAUCCUUAUAGGGGAACCUGUUUCGUAAUUGAUGAUCCGCGUAGAACCUUACUUUGCUUUAAAAUUAGUAUACCGUCGCUGGUGGAAUGCCUUUAAUUGGAAUGUGAGUUUACUGGCAUUAAUUUUUAAAUUGUGACAACAGAUCAAGGUACAGUCUAUGGUGAAGGCGAGGGUGGGUUACAAUUUUUAAUUUAAAAUGCGAAUUUAUGCUUGAAAUUGUGUUUUGAAGUUGGACUUAUAAGUAAUAUUAGUUAGAAUGAUAAUAUGAAUGGGAACAAAAAUGUGUACAAAUCGCCCGUCGCUCUUGUCGAAAGAUAAGAUAAGUCGUAACAUAGUGAGGGUAGCGGAAGCUGUUCUUGAUAGAG
rnacentral:ncRNA from 1 species